UGGGGCAUGGUCCAGCUGGAACGGACGCCUGGCUCUGACCCAGGAGACCCAGGUUCGAGCCCUGGUGCCCCAA
rnacentral:tRNA from 1 species